rnacentral:rRNA from 1 species
CCUACGGGCUGCAGCAGUGGGGAAUAUUGCACAAUGGGCGCAAGCCUGAUGCAGCCAUGCCGCGUGUAUGAAGAAGGCCUUCGGGUUGUAAAGUACUUUCAGCGGGGAGGAAGGUGUUGAGGUUAAUAACCUCAGCAAUUGACGUUACCCGCAGAAUGAAGCACCGGCUAACUCCGUGCCAGCAGCCGCAGUAAUACGGAGGGUGCAAGCGUUAAUCGGAAUUACUGGGCGUAAAGCGCACGCAGGCGGUCUGUCAAGUCGGAUGUGAAAUCCCCGGGCUCAACCUGGGAACUGCAUUCGAAACUGGCAGGCUGGAGUCUUGUAGAGGGGGGUAGAAUUCCAGGUGUAGCGGUGAAAUGCGUAGAGAUCUGGAGGAAUACCGGUGGCGAAGGCGGCCCCCUGGACAAAGACUGACGCUCAGGUGCGAAAGCGUGGGGAGCAAACAGGAUUAGAUACCCCAGUAGUC